rnacentral:rRNA from 1 species
AUGCCCUCGCUCGCCUCCCUCGGCCACACCAUCACGGAGAAGCUCACCCGUGACAACUUCCUGGUGUGGAAGGUCCAAGUCCUUCCGCACGUCAGGGCCGCGGCGAUGAUGGGCUACCUUGACGGCUCGAUCAAGGAGCCCGCUGCUGUCAUCGUCACCGAGAAGGAGACCAACGGGAAAAAGGAGACCACCGAGAUGCCCAAUCCAGAGCAUGCAAUCUGGGUUACUCAAGAUCAACAGGUCCUCACUUUUUUGCUCGCAUCUCUGUCCCGUGAAAUUCUGAUGCAGGUGUCCAAUCACACCACGCCGCGGGCGUCUGGCAAGCCCUGGUAG